UACGUAGGUGGCAAGCGUUGUCCGGAUUUACUGGGCGUAAAGAGCGCGCAGGCGGUCGUUCAAGUCGCGUGUGAAAGCCCCCGGCUCAACUGGGGAGGGUCACGCGAUACUGAUCGACUCGAAGGCAGGAGAGGAAAGCGGAAUUCCUGGUGUAGAGGUGAAAUUCGUAGAUAUCAGGAGGAACACCAGUGGCGAAGGCGGCUUUCUGGACGGUAACUGACGCUGAGACGCGAAAGCGUGGGGAGCAAACAGG
rnacentral:rRNA from 1 species